AUGCGUGAGUCAGAGCAUCUCCAGCCGUUGAGCCUCCCAGGAGGCAUUUUUUUCCCGCCUGGGGGCUGCCGGCGAAAUUUUUUCCCUGGCAACGAGAAAAUGUCCACUCGUUGCCCCCCCCCACGCACUUAUCCACUCGUCACCGCAGGGCAGGCCGCCUUCGCCUCGCCGCCUCCGCCCUCGGCCCUCCUGCUCGCCGCCCUCGCCAUGGCACUGCUCGCCGCCACGGACAGCAGCGUGGACUCCAUCCCCUUCGCCGGAGACCAGGCGCUCCGCCCUGGGCCGCAGCAGGAGCAGGACCAGCGCGGCCUGUCGGGCGUGUCGAGCAACUCGACCAGCCAUGGCUUCUGGACCUGGCGCAUGGCGCCCGUCCCACCAGUGCUUGAGCGGGCCACCACGUACUCGGCGGCGAGCGACGACGCUGACCUGGUCCGCCGGAACGCCCACUCGGCGGACGCGGAGGAGAUGGGCUGGAUCUUGCGAGGAUGGUGGCCAUGGCGCCCAAGCGAGGAGGAAGGAGAUGGUCCGCGAGCCCUGCCCCGGCCAUGCGCGCUGUGUGGAAGGAAAGGGAGAGGAGAGGAGAAAGAAAAUAAAGAAAGGGGAGGAGAGAGGAGAGAGAGAGGGGCUGACGAGUGGCCCUGUGCAUGCAAAAGUCAUCUACCGACGUCCCCAGCCGCCCCCCGGGGGGCUGGGUUUGGGGUGGUAGCGCCGGCCGUAAAUCUCGCGAAAUUCGGCGAAAAACGUCUCUGGGGCCCGAGUGGGUUUUUUUUGCCCGCCGGCGUCCAAAAAGUGCCUUGGGGAGGCUUCCUGGGGGGUCGACUGGAGAUGCUCUCGUGCAUUUUACUUGGUGUGCGCCGCGCAGGAGGUUCUCGCAGCUGGCCCAUGCAGUUCGCCAGUGGAAGAACAUGCCGUUGCACUUGGUGCAGUUCGCUGGUUGACCAUUGCGGUUAA
rnacentral:rRNA from 1 species